AAAUCCUUGGUGUGUCACCAAGGAUAACGUAAGGGAAAAUAAUGAUAUUACCUUACUAUUAGUGUCGUCCAAGUGCUCGUGCCAGAAGACUCGGUAAGGCGAGAGACGCAAACGUUAUUCGUCUUGAUCAGGCGUAAAGGGUGUGUAGGCGGUUUUAAGAAUUCAAAAUUAAGUUUAUUAUUAUAAUAUUAAUAAAANAAAAGUGUUAUAAUUUUAAAACAGAAUCAAUUAAAGCUAGAAUCUAAUAGAGGUUAAAAUAAUACUUAUGGUAGGUGUACCAACCUAAGAUAAUAAGUAGAAUUUUAAGGGCGAAGGCAUUUACCCACUAAAGAUUGACGCUGAGAAACGAAGGUGAGGAAAGAAAAAAGGAUUAGAGACCCUUGUAUCCCUCACUGUCAACGAUGAAUGGUAGUUACUAGUAAGAAAUAAACUAGAAGCGAUGUUAACACGUAAACCAUUCCGCCUUGUGAGUACGACUGCAAAGUUGAAAACAAAAAAAUUAGUCGGUUUC
rnacentral:rRNA from 1 species